GAUGAAGAACGUAGCGAAAUGCGAUAAGUAAUGUGAAUUGCAGAAUUCAGUGAAUCAUCGAAUCUUUGAACGCACAUUGCGCCCGCCAGUAUUCUGGCGGGCAUGCCUGUUCGAGCGUCAUUUCAACCAUCAAGCCCCCGGCUUGUGUUGGGGACCUGCGGCUGGCGCAGGCCCUGAAAACCAGUGGCGGGCUCGCUAGUCACUCCGAGCGUAGUAAUACAUCUCGCUCAGGGCGUGCUGCGGGUUCCGGCCGUUAAAAAGCCUUAUUUACCCAAGGUUGACCUCGGAUCAGGUAGGAAGACCCGCUGAACUUAAGCAUAUCAAUAAGCGGAGGA
rnacentral:misc_RNA from 1 species